AGACGCACUAUGAUGAUUACAUAGUUCAACUUAUCAAUUUAAAAAAGUUUUUUAUUGAGAAGAAGAUUAAUAACUUAUCUUUCGCUCCUAUCUGACAUACGUCA
rnacentral:snoRNA from 1 species